CUGACUUGGAAAGCAAAAUCAAAAAUGACAAAAGCCUAGGAUAACUGCCAUCUGGAAGGCUUCACCCAACAACUGAUGCAAGCUGAUGCUGAGACCCAUGACUGAACAUUAGGUGGAGCUUGGUUUCUCUUCCUGAGACAUGAUGUUGCCAAGACCUUGCAGGAGACAACGUAGACAACAAUCUUUAAUGAAAAUACCUAAUUAAAAAAAAAGAAAGAAACUGUGCCUACUUAUAUUCCCUCUUGAAGACAAAAAUAAAAUUAAUGAUCUGAGUUAUUUUCUAA
rnacentral:lncRNA from 1 species